AUGUUUAGUGCCAAUGCAAGCCGGAGUUUCAAGAAUCUAAUUCUGCAGGAACUUGAGCUUGGGGCGGAGGCCACGGGUGCGAAGUACCUUGGGCUGCCUAUGGGAAUUUUCUCUGUUAAAUCCACAUACAAGGUCCAUGUUAAUAUGCUGAAAAACGAGACAAGGAGACAAGUGGGGAGUGCCUCUGAACCUCAUGAGCAGGCGUCUGCUAUUUUUGAGGCCAUCUGGAAGGUUAACUGCCCCCCUAGAGAUCACCAUUUAAUGUGGCGGCUCGCGCACAACAGCCAACCCCUGUACAUGAACAUUAGCAGGCGGGGGUUUGAGCUAUAUACGAGACGUGCGGUGUGCGGUCGUCUUUUCGAGGAUGGUGGAAAUCUGUUCUUUAAAUGCAAGUUUGUAAAUCAGAGAUGGAGGGCCUUGUCGCUGGAAAAAGAACGGUGUCAACUGUCCCAGCUUGAGUCAGCAAAGGGAGUCGUGCAGGCAAUUCUGAAGUUACCUGAAGAGAAGAACUUCAAGUUGUUGCUCUAUUAUGGCUAUGUGGCCUCCGGUGGUUUGGCAACCAAUGGAGUGAUUGACCUGACCACUUGCAUGCAGAACUCCUCUAGCUUCUCCUCAAAAAAAGGAAGAUCUCCAUGCUCAUCGCCUGUCUCGUGCCAUCUAUGCUCGCCGGCCACCCUGCGCCGCCCGCGCUUGGACCCGUGCUCGCAGGCCAUUCUCGCGCCGUCCGCAUACGCGCCUGUGCUCGCCCACCCUCGCGUCGUCCGUGCUCGCCGGCCACACUCGCGUCGUCCGUGCUCGUGCCCGUGCUCGCCGGCCACCCACGCGCUGCCCGUGCUUGCCGGCCACCCCCACCCGCAGCUAAUCUUCGUCGAGCCUGCAGGUCCACCAUGA
rnacentral:rRNA from 1 species